AUCGUCCUCAUAUCAUCACAGAAAACGGAAAAGAAAAAAAGCGUAGAGAGGCUAGGUGUGCUUAGAGUUGGCUUUGUGGAAUUGGGUUUUUGUUAAAGUUGAAAUCUUUGGGUAGAGAGAUGAUGAGAUUGAUGGAAUUAGUGUUGUGGGCUGAUGAUAUGAUUAGGUCAUGAUGAUUAAGCUGUAGAGGAGACAAGGGAUUUGAUAUUAACGUGUAAAGUGUGUGUGUGUGUGUGUGUGAGUGAGUGAGGGGAGGGUUUAAGGCUCUCUGUGUGUAUAUAUAUAUGUAUAUAUAUUGCAUGGUAGAGACGAUGGGACAAGUGAGUGAGAGAAAGAGAUAGAGAGAGAAGAGAGUGAAGGGGGUUUUGGGUCGUGGUCAUUUCUGUAAACCCAAGACCCAGUUGGUAGGGUCAUGGGAGGGGUCUCUGCAACUUUAAUUUACUUUGUCCUUUUCACCCUCUCUCUCUCUCUCACAAGUCUCAGCCUUUUUAUCCCAUCAUCUCUCGUACCACCCAUUUCAUUUUUCUCAUUCACCAUAAUCACAUACACUCCGCUCCUCUGUUUCUCUCUGUCUUCUCUGCUUAGUUUAGAAGUAGCCUGAGGUUUCUUGGGUAAACUUGGUUCUGUGAAAUAGAGGCAACAAACAAAGAUCAAAAGAGAAGAGGAAGCUAAUUUGUUUUUGAGGGGAAUGUUGUCUGGCUCGAGGCCCCUAACUAGAUCCAUGAUCUUCAUCUCAAUUGAUGUCAAUUUUAAUCAACAAUCUUUAACAAUAUAGACUCAGUUGAGACAGAUCAUUUGGUUCUACAUUUAGUGACGUCGGACCAGGCUUCAUUCCCCCCAAUUAUUGCUUCCAAUCACACAGAUCUUCACUUACCCAUGUUAGAUUUUUGCCUUGAUCAUCCAAAGAAAGAAAUUUUGUACAUGGGUUGUUGGGCAGGCAGAUGCAGAUUGGUGUAAUGAUGAAGGGGUUUGACUGUUCUUCUCUUUUCACCUUUUAUCUCUGACGGAAGUGGGGAAAAGAUCUUCAUCAUUACUCUUUUAUUUUAUUUAUCUUCUAAAUUUCAUGAAUAUUAGCAGCAUAUAUGCAGGGUUGCGUUUUCUUUGUCAGGCUUCCCCCACGCCCUUUAACUCUUUCAGGUUCAUAUCAUUGGGCUGGUUUUUUUCAUGAUGGCUUUCAAGAAUCUUCUCUGUCCACUUCUGUUCUCUCUAAUCCCACACUUCACUUUUAAUUGCCUUCUUUUACCUACCACAACCCUAUUUUCACUUGUGCAUUAUAGCACCAUGGCCUAUAUAGGGUUUCCAUUUUCCACACUAGGUCUCUCUCUCUCUCUCUCUCUCUCUCUUAAAUAUUAUUAACCUUGUUCUAUUUUCUUAAAUACAUUCGCUGUUAAUUUUCCUCAUUUUUUCCCUUCUGAUUAUUAUUUAUAUUAUACAUGAAUUCUGGUUGCUGCUCUGCAGAUUUACAUGCCUGCAGAACAAGUGUUUGAUGAUCUUUUGUAUUUUUUCUUUUAUGUUCAAUUUACUACUUUUGUUGUUAGUGUUAGUUGGUGGAGCCAGCUUUGGAGCUGUGUAUUGUAUUGUAAUCUCCAUCACUCUAGAUCUGUGAUAAUUCAGAUGAUUAGUUUGGUUGGAUUGUAAAGGAUUUGUGUAGAUCUGAGUUCUUUUAUAAAGAUCAUGUUUAUUAUCUU